UUUAUAAAUUUUACUUGGUGUAAAAAUAUUAAUGGAAGUUGGGAUUAAUUUACCAUGAUUAGAUUAUUAAGUGGGGAUUAAAAAUUUAAUUAGUCAUUAAACAAGUCACUAGUGCACUAAGUGGGCCCCACCAAGACAUGUGACCAAAUUUAAUUGGCUCAAGCCUUGAGUGGGACACUUGUCACUCUUAGGGGCUGCCUAUAUAAGGAAAAAUCUGAUGUUUAAGUGUUCAUUUUAUCAUCUUCAACAUUACAAGAAAAGAGAAAAACCUAGAGAUAGAGAAGGGGGGCUCACGGCCAUGGUGAAAAAAAUCCAUGUUCACCAAGCUUGGUCCAAUUAAUUUUUCCAUGGUGUUGUAAAUCAAAUGGAGGUCUUUGGGAACAUGAAUUGGUCCUUGAGAGCAGCAAGAAUGGUCUUUAAUUGAAGCCAUUAAAUUCAGCAAAUUAAGGAGCAACUUGCUAAGACCUUGGGCAGCCCGAAUCAUAGGUUGGAUUUAGCUUGAGUUUGGAUCGUAUUGGAGAGCGUUUGAGGUACAGACGCACAGCCUGGUGAUCCACCUGUUUAGGACACCCUUUCUGCUAUUCGGAGUGCUCCUCUCUUUCCGGAGCUUAUACUUUUGGUAUAUAUAUUUAUUAGUGCAUUUGUAUAUAUUCGUUCAUGGGUACGGCGGGGCCCUGUCCCGUCAUACGAUUCUGUCGGUCUGUUUAGAGGUCUGUGGACAUGUUUGUGGGUUAGGGUCUUUCUGUAUGGAUGUAUGUACAUGUCGUUUGGGCGA